rnacentral:rRNA from 1 species
GACGAACGCUGGCGGCGUGCUUAACACAUGCAAGUGGAGCGACGAACCGGGCUUCGGCCCGGGGCAAAGCCGCGAACGGGUGAGUAACACGUGGGUGACCUGCCCCGAUGACUGGGAAUAACUCGGGGAAACUCGAGCUAAUACCGCAUACCUUCAGAUGAUCGCAUGGUCGACUGAAGAAAGAAUUUCGCUCUGAGAGGGUCUCGCGGCCGAUCAGCUAGUUGGUGGGGUAACGGCCUACCAAGGCAACGACGGGUAGCUGGAGUGAGAGAUCGAUCAGCCACACUGGGGCUGAGACACGGCCCAGACUCCUAAGGGAGGCAGCAGUGGGGAAUCUUGCGCAAUGGGCGAAAGCCUGACGCAGCAACGCCGCGUGCGGGAUGACGGCCUUCGUGGUUGUAAACCGCUUUCAGCAGGGACGAAAUUGACGGUACCUGCAGAAGAAGCCCCGGCUAACUACGUGCCAGCAGCCGCGGUAACAC